GCCCGUUUCGUCUAGCGGUAGGAUUCCACCCUGUCACGGUGGAGGCCCGGGUUCGAUUCCCGGAGCGGGCG
rnacentral:tRNA from 1 species